ACUAGAUUAUUAAUAGAUAUGUUCUUUAAAUUCAAAGAAUUUGGCGGUGAUUUAGUCUAAUCAGAGGAACCUGCUUUUAAAUCGAUAUGGCACGUAAAAUCUUACUUAUUUUUGUUUUUAGUUUGUAUACCAUCAUUAUCAGAUAAUUUUAAAAAAAUAAAUUAUUAAAAAUAACUGUAUUAGUUAAAUUAGAUCAAGGUGCAGCUUAUAAAUAAGUUAAAGUGGGUUACAAUAAAUUUUAUUUAAACGGAAUAAAGUUAGUUAUGGGCUUUAGGAAGGAGGAUUUGAUUGUAAUAUAAAUUUAAUAAGUUUAGGAGAUAAAAGCUCUGAAUUGUGUACACAUCGCCG
rnacentral:rRNA from 1 species